GAUGAAGAACGUAGCGAAAUGCGAUAAGUAAUGUGAACUGCAGAAUUCAGUGAAUCAUCGAAUCUUUGAACGCACCUUGCGCCUUUUGGUAUUCCGAAAGGCACACCUGUUUGAGCGUCAUGAAUACCUCAAUCUCCAUCUUUUCUUCGGAUUGAUGGGUGACUUGGAUGUUGAGCCCUGCUGGUAUGCUAUAUCAGCUGGCUUUAAACUUAUUAGCCGGCUCUGUACUGGAUCGGUUUGACUCGACGUGAUAAUAUUAUCGUUGAGGAUGCAUGUCUCAUGCAGCCGGAAAGUAUCAAAGCAGCUUCUAGCUUGCCUUUAGUGCACUUUUACAUUUUAGACCUCAGAUCAGGUGGGACUACCCGCUGAACUUAAGCAUAUCAAUAAGCGGAGGA
rnacentral:misc_RNA from 1 species